AACGAACGCUGGCGGCAUGCCUAACACAUGCAAGUCGAACGAUGCCUUCGGGCAUAGUGGCGCACGGGUGCGUAACGCGUGGGAAUCUGCCCUUGGCUUCGGAAUAACAGUUAGAAAUGACUGCUAAUACCGGAUGAUGUCCCCCUGAGAGAUCUUGGGGAACAAAGAUUUAUCGGCCAGGGAUGAGCCCGCGUAGGAUUAGGUAGUUGGUGGGGUGAAGGCCUACCAAGCCGACGAUCCUUAGCUGGUCUGAGAGGAUGAUCAGCCACACUGGGACUGAGACACGGACCAGACUCCUACGGGAGGCAGCAGUGGGGAAUAUUGGACAAUGGGGGGAACCCUGAUCCAGCAAUGCCGCGUGAGUGAUGAAGGCCUUAGGGUUGUAAAGCUCUUUUACCAGGGAUGAUAAUGACAGUACCUGGAGAAUAAGCUCCGGCUAACUCCGUGCCAGCCGCCGCUGUAAGAC
rnacentral:rRNA from 1 species